UACGGAAGGCAGCAAUGGGGAAUAUUGCACAAUGGGCGAAAGCCUGAUGCAGCGACGCCGCGUGGGGAUGACGGCCUUCGGGUUGUAAACCCCUUUCAGUAGGGAAGAAGCGAAGUGACGGUACCUGCAGAAGAAGCGCCGGCUAACUACGUGCCAGCAGCCGCGGUAAUACGUAGGGCGCAAGCGUUGUCCGGAAUUAUUGGGCGUAAAGAGCUCGUAGGUGGCUUGUCGCGUCUGCCGUGAAAACCCGAGGCUCAACCUCGGGCGUGCGGUGGGUACGGGCAGGGCUAGAGUGUGGUAGGGGAGACUGGAACUCCUGGUGUAGCGGUGAAAUGCGCAGAUAUCAGGAAGAACACCGAUGGCGAAAGGCAGGUCUCUGGGGCCAUUACUGACACUGAGGAGCGAAAGCAUGGGGUAGCGAAACAGGGAUUAGAUACC
rnacentral:rRNA from 1 species